GUCACACAGUGGGCGAUAGAUCAGCAAUGCCUUGGCAUUGGUAUUGGUGUAAAAGCACAACACACAACGAGAAGCAGCAGCUUCCUUUACCCACAGUACAUGCAAACACACUCUCUCCCUCUCCCUCGCACUCUAUCUCUUCGAAUACAUGCAAUGCAUUUAUAUACUAGCGUGUGUGUGAGUGUGUGUGCUUAGUUACUUACUCUUUGGCUGAUGCGCUCGCUCUUGCAUUUCGCUUUAUUGCAUAACAUCCUUGAACUUGAACCGAGGCUGAGGCUGAGCUGAGCUGAGCUUUGGGUCGCUUGGCUGCUCGCCUCUGCCUUUCGUCUUUUGCUUCGGCUGACUCAGCGACACACAAACACACGCAUACACGUGAGCUGUAUAUACAUAUACACAUGCAGCUGCUCCUCCUCCUUCGCUCCACCACUAGCAAGUGCUGCAGUCCACUCAAAAAAAAACAAAAAAAAAUUCACCACGCCAUUCGGCUCAGCCACAACGACGACGACAACGACGGCGCCGUUGACGUCGACAUCAGCAGCGAAGCCGACGACGUUGGCCUGUGUCUCUAUCGGUUGCUGCUGUGCUUGGCAUUGAAAGCGCGACAAGCGAGCAGUCAACAACGCAACAUCCCCAGCAGUAAAAUAGCCAAAAACAAAAAACAAAUUCAGCCAAAUAAAAUAGCCAAAAUAUACAACAGAGAAAUCAGUGUGUUCGCAGGAGCAUAAAAAAAAGCCAAUUGCAAUUUUAUAUUAUAGUAAUCAAAAUAAAAAAUGACAUCAACAAUAAGAACAACGCAAUCAAAUUGAAAUUGAAAUUAAAAUUGACAAAACCCGAAAAGCGACUAUAAAACUUAAAAGCAAACAAUAACAAUGCAAAAAUAAUUACAAAUUAAUUGUGCAACAACAACAAUAAUAUAAUUUGAGAAGUGUUCGUCAGAAGUGCGCAGCACAAACAAUCGAAAUACAACAACAACAACAAAAAGAUUGUGCCAACAACAAUAAUGAAUUCCAAUUGUACCUAAAACACACACACACACAUCGAAAAAGUGCAAUUCUUUUGUGUAUUCCCCAAUUUACGGAAGUAACAAACAAGCUAUGAAAAUUUACAACAAAAAAUUCAAAAGAAAAUGCAAAAUGCAAUUUGUGAAAAAUCUCAACAAAAUAAUUAGGUAAAUAUUAUUGCACAUUUACCUACAUAUGUAUUUUAUAGAGAAUAUUACGUGUCAAACAUGUGAUUCCCGUUCUGCUUUUAUACGAAAACCCAGAGAGAGAAAAAAAUCAAGUACAUAAGUGAAAAUGCAAAAAUGAAGGAAAAUUAUUGCAAAUUGCAUCAUCAUCAUCAGCGGAAUCGGAAAACAGCUUAAGGAUGACACGAUAAAUAAGUGUGGCCGAAGCACAGCAGCGUCAGCAUGGAAAUUUAAUUAGCGACAGUCGAGUGAGCCAGCAACGACAACAACAACAAUAAGAACGAUAGCAAACACACACGCCUUCCAAAAAGGCCUGUGAUAUAAAAGUAAACACAAAGCAAAAAAAGCGAAAAAAAAAAAAACAAAAUCAUGCGAGUCGAAGAGGAAGAGGAACAAAAAAAUUUGCCCACUUUCAGUGGCUUUGCCUUAUUCACAUGACGACAGCAAAAAGGUAGCGAAUAGAGCCGACAAAAUGCUAAACAGCAGCAACAACAACAACAACAAUGCAAUUGCACCCAAUGCACCCCUCCCACCGACCGUUGCAUCUGUGUGUGCGAGCGAGUGGACAAACAAAAAUGGCGCAUGACAUGCGCACUGAGCGAACAACUUGAACUUGAAAAAUUUUUAUUGUUGCGCUAGUCUCGGUCGCCUGCUGCUGCUGCUGUUCCAUUUAACUUGACAGCAAGCAGCGACGUCGGCAGCGGCAGCAACAGCAGCAGCAGCACAACGAAGCCGGCAAACCAACACCACAGAGAGAGCGAGAGAGUGACAGCUCAAGAGAAAGAGUUGUUGGGGAAAGAGCGAGCUGCUGUGUCCAAGCUUUGGGCUGCUAGCAGCAGGUAUGGUAUGUAUGUAUGUACAUAUGUAGAGUUAAAGAGAGUGGAGAGGUAAAUAAGCGAUUAUGCAAAGGAAAACAAAAAUGAAAACGAAAUGAGCGCGCUCGCGAGAAAGCUUUUUGGCACACAUAGCUUUUGCGUGGGCGACUUAAGGCGACGUCAGCGUCAACGUCGCUGUCGCUGUCUCUGUCGACGUCUGCCAACUGUUUGCUUUUGUUGUACACUUGAUAUGCCAGCUGCCCCGAAACUUUCUCUUUCAUGGCCCACCCGCCCCACGUGCUUUUCUUGUUGCUGCGUAUGUACGUAUAUAUGUGUGUGUGUAUAUGCUGUUGCAUAUUUACUGGGAUACGAUGACGCGCACCUGUGCGCACACCACACACACACGCACACAGCUGCUGCAGCCAGCCAACACACACACAGGAUGCUGCUGCUACGCUAGGCUGCUUCCUAGCUGCGAUGGUUGGUUUCCUUGUUGCCUGAACAGCGUCAAGUUGUUCAGUGUUGAGCGCACUCCCGGCGAGGUCAGGCCUCUUAAUAAACCAGCAUUGCCACAUAAUUGCUUUUGCAGUCAGUGUGUGUGUGUGUGUAAAGCUAACAUAUGAGUGAUUUAAUUAAGUGACAGAAAUUAACUAAAGUACCACAAAAAAAUAAAACAGCUGAUUAAAUUGUAAUGUGUGGAAGUUGUGGAUUGUGUGUGUGUGUGUGUGUGUGUGUGUGGAUGGUAUCAUGUGACAACUUCGAGUGACGUAUGUUGCCAACAUAUGGCUAACAAAAACUUUCAAUAAUGAAUAUAGUGCACACACACACACAUAGGCAAAUUGCUGCGCCUUAGCAUAUGCAACACAUUUUUUGACUUGUUUUUAUUACGCUUGUGACCUUUCGAUAGACAACACACACACACAUACACAUGCAAACACACAUACGUACGCAACAAAAAGCACAAAGAGAUGCGAUGCGUAAGCAAGCGUCAAGUUAUUUAUAUAUGUGUGUAUAUAAAAUACAUACCCACAACAUAUAGAAUACCAAGUCAAAGGGCAACUGGCAAAGGGCAAAUAUAAUAGAGAUGCAAAUAUUUUAAUAUUGCAUAAAUUAAUCUUGAAUUUAAAUUGCUUGUGAAAUACGCGAAUUGCAAGUGAAACGAAAUGAAAAGAAAAAAAAAGUGCAAUGCAAGAGAGAAACGAAAUCCAAGUGCAAGGUGACGACUGCAAUACAACAACAAUAAUAACAACAACAACAAAACGCAGCACAAAUUGUAUUGUAUGUAUAAGGUUGUCAAAAAAGUCUUGCGGUAUUUGUAUUGAAUUUUCAAUUGUUCAUCAAAUUGUUAAUAAUAAUAAUGCGAUUUAAGUCAAAUGUGCGGAAAUACCGCAAGACUUUUUGGACCACCUUUUAUGUAGCAGAAGCAUUGCCAGCUGGUUCGUGUCUACGCUAAGCUUUCGCUGAAAGCUCUCUCUUUCUGUGCCAUUGACACUGGGAUACACCCUGUGCUCGCUUUGAAAUUUGUGCAAACAAGUGAACACAGCUGGUGGUAUCCAGUGGCCGUUGGCAUCUAAGCAGCAUAAGAAACAACAACAACGACAACGAAGAGAACACAGGGUGAGUAGUGUUUAUUUUAUAAUUGAAAUGACUUAAUUUAUUUUGCAAGUCCAAUUUUCAAUUUAAUUUUGUUGUCUCGUAUGAUUUGAACCUUUUCUUUCAAAUAUCAUUUGAACCAUACUAAAUAUUUAUUAUUCUAGCCAUAAGCUUUGUUUAACAAUUUUUCAUUUAUCUACCCAAAAAUAAAAAAAAAAGAACGUUAAUUGAAAUCUUAAAAU